AGUGAACGCUGGCGGUAGGCCUAACACAUGCCAGUCGAACGGCAGCACAGUAAGAGCUUGCUCUUACGGGUGGCGAGUGGCGGACGGGUGAGGAAUACAUCGGAAUCUACUUUUUCGUGGGGGAUAACGUAGGGAAACUUACGCUAAUACCGCAUACGACCUACGGGUGAAAGCAGGGGAUCUUCGGACCUUGCGCGAUUGAAUGAGCCGAUGUCGGAUUAGCUAGUUGGCGGGGUAAAGGCCCACCAAGGCGACGAUCCGUAGCUGGUCUGAGAGGAUGAUCAGCCACACUGGAACUGAGACACGGUCCAGACUCCUACGGGAGGCAGCAGUGGGGAAUAUUGGACAAUGGGCGCAAGCCUGAUCCAGCCAUACCGCGUGGGUGAAGAAGGCCUUCGGGUUGUAAAGCCCUUUUGUUGGGAAAGAAAAGCAGCAGGUUAAUACCCCGCUGUUCUGACGGUACCUAAAGAAUAAGCACCGGCUAACUUCGUG
rnacentral:rRNA from 1 species